UUUCAUGUUGUUAUUAUCAGAAGCCGGAAGGGCUAAGCGCCGCCGCCGGAACCGGAAACAUAGAGCGCGCGAGACAGAAACAAAGUGGCAAGAGAAAAAAAAACUAGGCACGGGAGAAGAGGCAGCACGGAGAGGAGGCGGAGCCACGUCACGUGACCGGCUCGCUCUCUCGCGGCGCCUGGCGCAGGCCCUCAGUCCGGACCCCGGGUUAGAGCGAACGCGGCUGUGCUCAGCGCCGAGAGCGCCCCAGAUUCCGUCGCCGAGCUACCGCCGGGAACGAAAGAAAAAGAAAGAAAGUUCGUACCCGCGCUUCGCGCAAUUUAACGGUGAACGUGCAGCAAAUAAUAGGAGUGGGGCUCAUACCCAACAGAAGAGUGCGCCGUUAUUAGAGGAGGAGCUACAUCGCUUUACAUUAUCUGUUUUUUUUUUCUUGGUCAAGUCUAGCGACCCCGCCGUCUAUGUCAUGCCUCGGGUAGAGGAGUAGAUAUCCCGGGGCUGACGUCAGCGGAUUACACGCAAGACUGUGACGAAUGGAUUAACUGUGUCUCAUCGCCUCCUCCUGCGGGAUCGACUAUCCCCCACGAGAAAAAAGGUCCGCGAGUGUGCAAGAAAACUGCGCCGGAUUAUGUGACGUGCUUUGGGUCGCGCAUCAUCUGUGACUGGUUCUGCAGUCGACGACCGAGAUAGUCCCAUGGGGGGGCUGUAGACAGUCGGGGGUGCCGCUACUGCGACUGCACCUGCUGCCACGAUGUCUCCACUGACGUUGUUCGCGAACGCUGCCGCGGGCGGGACAAGAUCUGCCCACGGCAUCGCUCAGACAGUGGGCCUCUGGGCCACUCUCAGUUCCCUCGCUGUGCUGACAUUUAUGGUGCUUACACUAGCAGCCAUCGACGAAGACGGUCCUGCGCAGAGCCGUAGGUCGCAUCCUGACGCCUCCGCACCAUCUCCCGAAAACCCUGGGAGCGUGGUUUCGAGGGCGGCGUCGCGCCGCGUCCGUUCGGCCGAGGCGUCGCUCGUGUCAGCGCCGGAGAUCUUGAACCCCAAGCUCUUCCCGGACAUCGAGCAGCCGGCGUUCGACAACAGCACGCCGCGAAACGUCACCACGCAACAGAUGCAGACCGUGUACCUACACUGCAUAGUCAACAACCUCGGUGAACGGACGGUGUCGUGGAUCCGGCGCCGUGAUUUCCACGUCCUCACGGUGGGCCUGACGACGUACACGGCUGACGAUCGGUUUCAAGCUGUGCACAUGGACCGCUCCGAAGACUGGAUGCUGCAGAUCAAGCGUGUCCAGCCCACCGACGCUGGAGACUACGAGUGCCAGAUCAACAUGCACCCGCUCAUCUCCUACUUUGUACGACUGACCGUCUUGGUUCCACGCGCACGGAUCCUGGAAGCACCGGAGCUGUUCAUCAACAGUGGCUCGUCGAUCAACGUGAGCUGCGCGAUCGAGCACAGUCCCGAGCCACCAGUGUUUGUGUUCUGGUACCACAACGACCGCGUUAUCAACUACGACGAGACGAAGGGUGGCCCGGGACACAUCUCGGGGGCCAAGCGCCCUCCCGACGCGUACGUCAGCAGCCUCUUCAUACGAAACGCCCGGCCGCAAGACUCCGGCAACUACACCUGCGGCCCGUCGAACGCCGAUUCCACGAGCGUCGUGGUGCACGUACUCAACGGCGAGAAGAGAGCCGCCAUGCAGCACGACUUCUCGCCAUCGCGGGCCCUGCUUCCAGUCUCGGUGGAGUUGAGGCUGGUGUUCUGUUCCCUGUUCACGACGCUAGGCGUCGCCUUCAGGCUCACCUCUUCUUGACCGUCCUGCGUGACCAAACUCGCCACGUCUCUUCAAAGCUUCAUCACUGUCCGUCCAAACUCACAGGCCCCCAAGAGAGGUCUGGCCAUCUCAGCAAAAGCUCAUAUGGGUUGCCGGGUGCCGUUCAAGCGCAUCCAAUCAUUUCCACCCCAGCGUUCUUGCAGUGUCCGUGUUUGUGCGUGAUGUGAUGGAGCGACUGAGCACGCGUGGUUCGUCCAGCCCUGCGAGCAGCGCGCGGAACUGCACUGCGUCAGCGCGGCACUCGCACGCUGCAGUGCCGCACCGGAGAGUCGCCAAACAAUGCUCGUUUGGCUGGGACGACUUCGCGAGGCCACGUACGAAAGUGUGUGUGCGCUAAGUGGACCCGCUGGAAGCCGCGUCCUCUAGCGAAACACUUCGGCUGUGAACCAUACAUAACCUGUGCGUCACACGUUUCACUGGCGACAACGUACAUUCCAGGACGCUCGAACUGUGCGAAGCGAUUCUCUAGCCGUUUGUGGUUUGUGCGCCGAGGGUUCUUUCUAGUCAUUAGUGAGAAGUCAAAGCAAAAAGAGCGGGACUGCGUUGUGCACUAAUGGCCCGGUGUUAGAUACUUGUCAUAAACGUGUUACCUUCUUGUCUUGUUCAUUUCUUCUUCUGUCGGAGAAACGGGGGAAAAAGAGACAGUCAUUUCGAUACGUCGACUUGAUCCAUCAGCGUCAGGCCUUGCAAGCGGUAUUCCAGCGGAACCGACAAAGCUACAAAUACGUUUUUUUGCCGCAGAAUAACAUAUGCUUGACCGUGUCUUAGUGAUGCUAUUUGUUUUUGUUGUCCCGACAUAAGAAACAGUGGCAUAGAUCGGAAUUACAGUGGUGUUUUUGGGCUGACUCUGCGUUGUUCACUUUAUGGGCGCUGAUUCAUACUGGCUUGUUUGCUCUAAACAAUACUACGACAUUUUAUUUGCACAAUUAUACUGAUCUUCCUGCCUGCGUUCUGAACUGGCUUCUUUUAUAACCGGACGUGCCACUUCCGCGAAUGCAUUUACGAAGAAAAAGAAUCCUUUAUUACGUGUCUUUUAGUUGAUCGUCUAAGAUAAAGGAAUUCCAGCUGUUAUAGUUUUUAUUGCCACACAUAGACUUCCACUGAAUUUUAGAAUAGGCUUGCCCCGAAUCAAGACGUUCAGCUCCGUGCUAUGGAAUUUGAGGUUCGUCUGUGGUUUUGAUUGGCUUUAUCUACAUGCCCAUUAUAAGCUUUCGUCUUGACUAGUGCGUUUUGAGAACCAACUUGCGUGAUGGCCUGCUGAAGGAAUUUGCAUUUGACAUACGAUUGGUAUGGACGACUGGGCUUACCGGUGAUGAAUAAUAACUUCUCGGCUCAGAUUACUUCCCAGCUUCAUUAGUAAUAUCAUUUCCUCUAAUCAGAACCUGCUCACAGUAUUAGGAUCUUACGGACCACCUAAAGAAAACAUCACCAAAAACCAACGCCAGAGAGGCGAAACUGUCAAAGAGAGGACACUCACCUCACGUUUUUCUUGCACCCACAACUUUCGUUGUGUUUUAUUUGUUGCUCUAGAAGACACAGGAACGGGCGCACGCAUGGCGAACUCGCGCAUAGCAGAUUGGCAGCUUUCCUUUCUGUAAAGUCGAAUGAGAUGAGGUUGUUCUUGUCAGAAUAUAUCUAAGUAAAGGACUUGUUCUUCAUCGUUUGCCUCGUGUAUAUACUACAAGUACGAGCACGUUCUGGAACUGUUGGAGAACGUCGGUUAAAAGUCAUGUUUAACACUUGAUGUAAAAAAAAUUAGUUAUGUAGAUGUUGAUUGUACAUACAUGAUCACACAUUUUUGUCAAAGGAAUAACUGUUGAGACUUUGUAAAUAAAGAAAGAUAUGUUGACAAACAA